rnacentral:rRNA from 1 species
UACGAAUGGAGCGAGCGUUGUUCGGAAUCACUGGGCGUAAAGGGUGCGCAGGCGGUCUUGAAAGUUAGAAGUGAAAGCCCCGGGCUUAACCCGGGAAUUGCUUUUAAAACUCCAAGACUAGAGUACUGGAGAGGUUAGCGGAAUUCCAAGUGUAGCAGUGAAAUGCGUAGAUAUUUGGAGGAACACCAAUGGCGUAGGCAGCUAACUGGACAGUAACUGACGCUCAUGCACGAAAGCGUGGGGAUCAAACAGGAUUAGAUACCCUGGUAGUCCACGCCCUAAACGAUGUGUGCUAGUUAUCGGGCCCAUAGGGUUCGGUGACGCAGCUAACGCUUUAAGCACACCGCCUGGGGAGUACGGUCGCAAGAUUAAA